rnacentral:rRNA from 1 species
GACGAACGCUGGCGGCGUGCUUAACACAUGCAAGUCGAACGGAAAGGCCCUGCUUUUGUGGGGUGCUCGAGUGGCGAACGGGUGAGUAACACGUGAGUAACCUGCCCUUGACUUUGGGAUAACUUCAGGAAACUGGGGCUAAUACCGGAUAGGAGCUCCUGCUGCAUGGUGGGGGUUGGAAAGUUUCGGCGGUUGGGGAUGGACUCGCGGCUUAUCAGCUUGUUGGUGGGGUAGUGGCUUACCAAGGCUUUGACGGGUAGCCGGCCUGAGAGGGUGACCGGCCACAUUGGGACUGAGAUACGGCCCAGACUCCUACGGGAGGCAGCAGUGGGGAAUAUUGCACAAUGGGCGGAAGCCUGAUGCAGCAACGCCGCGUGCGGGAUGACGGCCUUCGGGUUGUAAACCGCUUUCGCCUGUGACGAAGCGUGAGUGACGGUAAUGGGUAAAGAAGCACCGGCUAACUACGUGCCAGCAGCCGCGGUGAUACGUAGGGUGCGAGCGUUGUCCGGAUUUACUGGGCGUAAAGGGCUCGUAGGUGGUUGAUCGCGUCGGAAGUGUAAUCUUGGGGCUUAACCCUGAGCGUGCUUUCGAUACGGGUUGACUUGAGGAAGGUAGGGGAGAAUGGAAUUCCUGGUGGAGCGGUGGAAUGCGCAGAUAUCAGGAGGAACACCAGUGGCGAAGGCGGUUCUCUGGGCCUUUCCUGACGCUGAGGAGCGAAAGCGUGGGGAGCGAACAGGCUUAGAUACUCUGGUAGUCCACGCUGUAAACGGUGGGUACUAGGUGUGGGGUCCAUUCCACGGGUUCCGUGCCGUAGCUAACGCUUUAAGUACCCCGCCUGGGGAGUACGGCCGCAAGGCUAAAACUCAAAGGAAUUGACGGGGCCCCGCACAAGCGGCGGAGCAUGCGGAUUAAUUCGAUGCAACGCGUAGAACCUUACCUGGGUUUGACAUGGAUCGGGAGUGCUCAGAGAUGGGUGUGCCUCUUUUGGGGUCGGUUCACAGGUGGUGCAUGGCUGUCGUCAGCUCGUGUCGUGAGAUGUUGGGUUAAGUCCCGCAACGAGCGCAACCCUUGUUCACUGUUGCCAGCACGUUAUGGUGGGGACUCAGUGGAGACCGCCGGGGUCAUCUCGGAGGAAGGUGGGGAUGACGUCAAGUCAUCAUGCCCCUUAUGUCCAGGGCUUCACGCAUGCUACAAUGGCUGGUACAGAGAGUGGCGAGCCUGUGAGGGUGAGCGAAUCUCGGAAAGCCGGUCUCAGUUCGGAUUGGGGUCUGCAACUCGACCUCAUGAAGACGGAGUCGCUAGUAAUCGCAGAUCAGCAACGCUGCGGUGAAUACGUUCCCGGG